UCAUGUUUUAUGUACCACUAGAUAGGAGUGCAUCGUUCAAAUGCAGAGGCCAGGGUAUAUCCUCCUUUAAAAAAAAGGUGUAUAAUGAUUUNACUCACAUCUUCUUGGGGUGGGGAAUGGGAUGAUCCACAGGUGCUCGAUCGGGGAAUGGGAUGAUCCACAGGUGCUCGAUCGACUCACAUCUUCUUGGGGUGGGGAAUGGGAUGAUCCACAGGUGCUCGAUCGACUCACAUCUUCUUGGGGUGGGGAAUGGGAUGAUCCACAGGUGCUCGAUCGACUCACAUCUUCUUGGGGUGGGGAAUGGGAUGAUCCACAGGUGCUCGAUCGACUCACGUCUUCUUCUUAGGGUGGGGGUGGUAUCCCUCAAGAAUCAUGUUGCAGGUGUUCAUGGCGCGCGCAUCCAGUAGGUUGUGGUUCCACAGCUUAAUCAUGACAAAACGCCAGCACCUGUUGUUUCAUUCAUUUGUUCAAUCAGGCGCAGCAAGCAAGCCAGUCAAAUAAUUAAACACCCUAUCAUGCCCUACCACAAGAGCGAGCAUGCAAUGCAUGCACUACCAGAAGAGGGAGCGGCGGGCGGAGACUCACCAGAGCAGAGGAGGGUUUUGUACAAGCUGCGGUCCAUGAAGCCGGGAAAAGCCCUCACAGGCCCAAGGUAUAUGCCCAUCAGCUAGCAC
rnacentral:lncRNA from 1 species